rnacentral:misc_RNA from 1 species
UCCGGCUUAUCACCGGCAGUCCCACUAGAGUGCCCAACUAAAUGAUGGCAACUAAUGGCGAGGGUUGCGCUCGUUGCGGGACUUAACCCAACAUCUCACGACACGAGCUGACGACAACCAUGCACCACCUGUAUACCGCCCUUGCGGACCCCAUAUCUCUAUGAGUUUUCGGUAUAUGUCAAGCCUUGGUAAGGUUCUGCGCGUUGCUUCGAAUUGAACCACAUGCUCCACCGCUUGUGCGGGCCCCCGUCAAUUCCUUUGAGUUUUAAUCUUGCGACCGUACUUCCCAGGCGGGAUACUUAAUGCGUUAGCUUCGUCACCGGAGCGAUUAGGAACUCCGACGACUAGUAUCCAUCGUUUAGGGCGUGGACUAC